rnacentral:rRNA from 1 species
AUUGAACGCUGGCGGCAGGCUUAACACAUGCAAGUCGAGCGGAGAUGAGGUGCUUGCACCUUAUCUUAGCGGCGGACGGGUGAGUAAUGCUUAGGAAUCUGCCUAUUAGUGGGGGACAACAUUCCGAAAGGAAUGCUAAUACCGCAUACGUCCUACGGGAGAAAGCAGGGGAUCUUCGGACCUUGCGCUAAUAGAUGAGCCUAAGUCGGAUUAGCUAGUUGGUGGGGUAAAGGCCUACCAAGGCGACGAUCUGUAGCGGGUCUGAGAGGAUGAUACGCCACACUGGGACUGGGACACGGCCCAGACUCCUACGGGAGGCAGCAGUGGGGAAUAUUGGACAAUGGGGGGAGCCCUGAUCCAGCCAUGCCGCGUGUGUGAAGAAGGCCUUAUGGUUGUAAAGCACUUUAAGCGAGGAGGAGGUUACUGAGACUAAUACUCUUGGAUAGUGGACGUUACUCGCAGAAUAAGCACCGGCUAACUCUGUGCCAGCCGCCGCCGUAACAC